GCUCGGUCAAAUAAUGCUGCAGCCAACGGGGCUCGGGCCCAGACUGGCAAUGCUGUGGAAAUACCAAUGGUCAGUCAGGAGGAACAGCUAAUCCUGACUGCAAUCGGAAAAGAUACCUCCGAGGGAGUGGGUCCGGCGGAGUCAAGGAUUGGAGAUUAAUCUUUUGGAGGAGACGGAGAACAUAGAAAACUUGGAGGAUACUGAAAUAAUGGAAGAGGAAGAUGAUUAAUAGUAGUUAAUUAAUGUGACUUCAUUCUUUCACACUUCUUCAUGUAAGGCGUUAUGUUUGUCUACACUCAAGUAUACAAUUGUGUUUUUAGCUACUAAUACGAAAAAAUUAUAUAUUUAUAAUUCUUAAAUAACUCAAUUCUAAUA